ensembl:lncRNA LOC108348556 uncharacterized LOC108348556
AGAAGAGGGAUGGGUAUCUGACUGGAGAACCUCUUGAGAGGGGAGGGGGUCCUGCACUUCUCCACCAUCUUGCCUUGUGAGCUUCACCUUUCUGCCCCAGGAGAGGUUGAUCUGAAGCCACUCUGCUCUUUGUCACCUUCACUGAAAACUUGGUUAAAGAGUAUGAGGAAGAUGAGACCAGCUGGGCACCGGGAGACAGUUCUGAGUGGACACAGUGGCCCCUGCCUUUUGGCAUCUGGGAGAGGCCAAGCACAGUUGUGCUGGCGCCAUGUUUGCCCUAGAGACUGUACCACGUGGUCCUCUUCACUAUGCUCUCAGAGGAUACUUAAGCUGUUAGACUACAGACAAAGGCAAGAUGAAUGAUGUUUGUGUAGUAUAUCUCUAUUUCCAGUUCUACAGGGAGCCUGUCCUGGACAAACUGACAGAUGUCUCUCAGUAAAUAGACAGGAGGAGCAGUGGUAUCUAAGCAUAAAACUCUUCGAACAUGGAGUCUGAAGGAUGGACUGACCGUUUGCAAUGAUAUCUCCUAGCAACCAUCAAAUCCACAACAAUGUAUUGAGUACCUGCAGAGCAGGCCUCUUUAUGAUUGGUGUCUAAAGUUAUCACAUUGAAAUGGUGGGCCCUCCAUGUUCCAAGUCUCAAAGUACUUGCACAUACAUCUGUCGCUCAACAAAACUCAGGGAGUCACCUAAGACCCUGUUGUCACCCCUAUGUGUAGCCAACAAUAAACACAAGUGACAGCUGUGGUUUAUUAAAGACUGUGUUCCACACACUCUUACACAUGCUAACUUGUUCGCCAUCAUAGUGGCUUUGUGUGAUUGUUCUCACUUUAUGACUGAUUAAAGUGAAGCGCAAAGAGAUAAAUACAC